AUGAACGCUAGCGGCAGGCCUAACACAUGCAAGUCGAGGGGCAGCACAGGUAGCAAUACUGGGUGGCGACCGGCGGAUGGGUGCGUAACGCGUAUGCAACCUACCAUUGAUUGGGGCAUAGCUCGAAGAAAUUCGGAUUAAUACUCCAUAAUAUUCAUCAAAGGCAUCUUUUAUGAAUUAAAGCUUUUGCGAUCAAUGAUGGGCAUGCGUGACAUUAGUUAGUUGGUGAGGUAACGGCUCACCAAAACGAUGAUGUCUAGGGGUUCUGAGAGGAUUAUCCCCCACACUGGUACUGAGACACGGACCAGACUCCUACGGGAGGCAGCAGUGAGGAAUAUUGGUCAAUGGACGCAAGUCUGAACCAGCCAUGCCGCGUGCAGGAUGACGGCCCUAUGGGUUGUAAACUGCUUUUCCACGGGAAGAACCCUCCGACGUGUCGGAGACUGACGGUACCGUGGGAAUAAGCAUCGGCUAACUCCGUG
rnacentral:rRNA from 1 species